CUGUCCGUAGCUCAGCUGGAUAGAGUACCUGGCUACGAACCAGGCGGUCAGAGGUUCGAAUCCUCUCGGACGCGCCA
rnacentral:tRNA from 1 species